AUUGAACGCUGGCGGCAUGCCUUACACAUGCAAGUCGAACGGCAGCACGGGAGCAAUCCUGGUGGCGAGUGGCGAACGGGUGAGUAAUAUAUCGGAACGUGCCCAGUCGUGGGGAUAACGUAGCGAAAGCUACGCUAAUACCGCAUACGAUCUAUGGAUGAAAGCGGGGGAUCGCAAGACCUCGCGCGAUUGGAGCGGCCGAUAUCAGAUUAGGUAGUUGGUGAGGUAAAGGCUCACCAAGCCGACGAUCUGUAGCUGGUCUGAGAGGACGACCAGCCACACUGGGACUGAGACACGGCCCAGACUCCUACGGGAGGCAGCAGUGGGGAAUUUUGGACAAUGGGCGCAAGCCUGAUCCAGCAAUGCCGCGUGCAGGAUGAAGGCCUUCGGUGUAACUGCUUUGUUACGGAACGAAACGGUGAGCUCUAAUACAGUUUGCUAAUGACGGUACCGUAAGAAUAAGAC
rnacentral:rRNA from 1 species